GGGGGGCGCGGACACGCGUGGUGUGCGCGGUCCCCGUGCAGCCCGCCCUGCCGCAGGCUGCCCUCCACCCCCAGCCCCAGCUCCAGCCCCCAGCCCGUCCCCACUGCUCAUAUCCGAGCAGAUAGACCCCGGCCCCACCCUCCCGUGCUGAGCCUCCUUUCUGCCGGGAAGUUCGUCCGGGAGUCAAACAUCGCUGCCCUCCGGUUGCGCCACGGAGGGGGAGCCAGGAUAGGAAGCUGCCGUGAAAUCAGGAAGCUGAGCGCGCCGGGCCCCGGAUCCGAACAGAAAAGGCUUCCACCCGCUCCCCUGAGGGAUCCCACGCUGAGGGACUGAACCCCGCACCCCAGCCGCGCUCACCACCCCCACCCUCUCGCCUGGGCUGCUCUGACCUGGGGUUCACUUUCUGAAGAUGAUUCUGAAGAAGAGGAGGAAUUGGAAGAGGAAUCCGAGCCUUCUGAAUGAAUUCCAGAACUGCCACUCAAAGUGCCCUAUGAGGAGCUGUGGUAACAAGGAAAUGUUCUCAUGACUCAAAAAUCAGUGGAAAAAGGUACAGGAUGAGAAGCCUUGUUUCCCAACCCUAUCAACAGGGCUGUGCUGUUUCCCUCUACCACGAAUGCUCUUCUUAAAUACGGCUCACUUCAUCUCCUUCUGAUACCUGCUUAAAUCUCAUCUUCUCAAAAUGGCCUUGUCUGACCAACUUAUUAAAAUAGUAUCCCAACUAC
rnacentral:lncRNA from 10 species